rnacentral:lncRNA from 1 species
GAGCUUUAGCUCAGAUAGCGAUGGGGGCUUGAUGCCCUGGAAGUAUAUUAAUACUCAAAUAGCGAUGGGAGCUUGAUGCCUUGUAUUGGUACCACAUGCAUAUAAGAGGUCUAAGUUGCAUAGUUGCAUUUGUUGAGUCGAAAAUGAUAAGUUGUGAAGUUGUGAUUACUUAUAUGAAUUGUUAACGAAGUGAUUUAUGAUAUAUUAUUAUCUAUG